rnacentral:rRNA from 1 species
GUAGUCAUAUGCUUGUCUCAAAGAUUAAGCCAUGCAUGUCUAAGCACAAGCCGAUUAAUGGUGAAGCCGCAAAUGGCUCAUUACAACAGCCACUGUUUACUUGAUCUUGACUAUCCUACUUGGAUAACUGUGGUAAUUCUAGAGCUAAUACACGCAAAAAAGCUCCGACCUUACGGGACGAGCGCAUUUAUUAGACCAAAACCAAUCGGGCUUCGGCCUGAAACGUUGGUGACUCUGAAUAACUGAGCUGAUCGCAUGGUCUUUGUACCGGCGACGUAUCAUUCAAGUGUCUGCCUUAUCAACUUUCGAUGGUAGUUUAUGUGCCUACCAUGGUUGUUACGGGUAACGGAGAAUAAGGGUUCGACUCCGGAGAGGGAGCCUGAGAAACGGCUACCACAUCCAAGGAAGGCAGCAGGCGCGCAAAUUACCCACUCUCGGCACGAGGAGGUAGUGACGAAAAAUAACGAGGCGGUUCUCUAUGAGGCCCGCUAUCGGAAUGAGUACAAUUUAAACCCUUUAACGAGGACCUAUGAGAGGGCAAGUCUGGUGCCAGCAGCC